UACGUAGGGUGCAAGCGUUGUCCGGAAUUAUUGGGCGUAAAGAGCUCGUAGGCGGUUUGUUGCGUCGGCUGUGAAAUCCCGAGGCUCAACCUCGGGUCUGCAGUCGAUACGAGCAAACUAGAGUGUUGCAGGGGAGACUGGAAUUCCUGGUGUAGCGGUGAAAUGCGCAGAUAUCAGGAGGAACACCGGUGGCGAAAGCGGCUUCCUGGUCCAGCACCGACGUUCAGGCACGAAAGCGUGGGGAGCAAACAGG
rnacentral:rRNA from 1 species